GUGAAGUAUGGUGUGUUAAAGACUUGAGGUAUUUAAUGUUUAUCAAUGUAGAUUUUCACAUUGACAUUUGUAGCAUUUCAUUUAGAUCAGUGUUUAUGUAAAUGGGUCAGCUUUUUCUUGAGAUUUUUGUGAGAGAAAGAGGAAAAAAAAAAAAUGCAUUGAGAACCAUUGGUGGAUUGAAAUCGUACACAAUACAUGGCAGACAUAUGCCUAACCAGGGAUUAGUUGGUGAUGGGCAUUUUAGGAGUUAGUGUUUGGUUUGUUAGUGUUUUAUUAUUUUGAUUAUGAAUUUAUUUAAUUUUCAGCAACAAUAAAAGUUCACAUUUACAUCUCCUUUGCAGCUACUCAAGAAGAAUGCACGAGAACGACUGGGAUGCAAUCGGGGUCGACACGGUGCUGCUGAAGUCAAGAGUCAUGACUUCUAUCGUAAUGUCAACUGGAAGAGAUUAGAAGCUGGCAUUUGCGAUCCUCCCUUUGUUCCAGAUCCACAUGCUGUAUAUGCCAAGGAUGUACUGGACAUCGAGCAAUUUAGCACAGUGAAGGGGGUAAACCUGGAUGCCACAGAUGACUCCUUCUACUCUAAGUUUAACACAGGCUCAGUUUCCAUCCCAUGGCAACAGGAGAUGAUAGAAACAAAGUGUUUUGAGGAACUGAAUGUGUUUGGGCCAAAUAACACACCCAGUAAUGAUCUAAGACUGGAUCUGCCCCCGCCAGAGGACAGCAAGAGUUGCUUCCCUUUCAGAAGACGGGUACGUGCCACGUGUGGAUUGGGACAUCUAUCCAACCUGUUCUGCGGCGGAGGUAGCUAGGAGGUUGCCGUUUUGCAUGAGAGAACAUCAUCAUCAUCCAGGAACAUCCAAAGCAGAGAAUCAAUCAUUGGGAGUUCAUCAUAUUCCCGCCAAAGCAUCUGAGGUUCAUCUUCAUUUCCUGAAUAUCACCUUCGAGGCAUCUGGGGUUCGCCUUCCACGAGUCAGCCGCAGAGAAGAGGCACAGAUGCCACCCAUUUUUGUCCCUUAGUGCCAAGUGAUUUAGAAGAUGAUAAGCUUAGACUUAACAUUUUGAGAGCCCAUGGAUAGGACGUUUUUGUUAGGAAGGAAAACUAGAAUCUAAAUUUUAU